CUGGGGUGUCCGAGUGGUUCUCGGGCUGAGAUUAUACCCAUUGAACCUGACGCAGGUCAUGCUGCCGUAGGGACGUGUUGUAA
rnacentral:ncRNA from 1 species